UUCCCUCCUGGAAACCUUGGCAAAUUCCAGAGAAGAACCCCAAGGCAUUGGCAAGUGCCUUGAAUAUUUUUCUUGCUAGGUACAGCUUCAGAGUGUGCUGGCAGGCCCUGAAUCCCUGCUGUAGCACCCCUGGUGUAGUCUGUCCGGUUCCCUGCAGACGAUGGGCCAACCUCAGCCUCAGUCCCCCAACUGAGGGAAGGUUACCCAGGGCUUUAAACACAAGGGUCUGGACCACAUUCACUCAGUGCCAACCCUGGCAGCAGGAGCCAUGGGACUUGUGUGGCUCUGUUCUCUUGGCCGGUCACCCGCUCUAGAACAGACUCAUCAUUGGCUUUUAAAGUUUUCAGUAUUGCCUAGCACCCUGAAUCCUUUUGGGGAAAAAAUGAGGCAUGAAUAAGUAAAAUGAAUGGGUAGACCUUGUGUAUAUUACACGUGUAGGCAUUGCUCUUGUCACGUUACAGUCAGGGGCCGUGUUUGAUGCAGUCACCACCAUGCAUCUCGACCCCCAGGAAGCUUUCUUGGUUACUCUAGGUUACUCUGCUUCUUAGCAGAAUUCCCCAGGUGUUCGAGUUAACAUGUGGCUUCCUGGGUCUGCCCUCUCUUAAGACCUCUGUGUGGAGAGACUCACUGUUAGUACGUCUGGACUUGCCAGCUAUAGAACCUCUGUUGUGUCCAUCUCAAUUGCCUCCUUCUCUCAAUUCCUACCACACUUGGUACCCGACAGUGAUGGCCCACGGGAACUUCAUCCUUCACAUUGGGUUGUUGCUGUCUGGUUUCACUCUUUUUGACUCUGUCUUGCCAAGACAACAGUUUGAAGCCAGAGGCUACUCCUGCUGCUUUGGAAGCCCUCCUGGGACCCAGCCUGGGCACUGGGUGGUUGGUACAUGCUCCAAGCUCCCUUCAUAGUCACACUCAUUUGGAUGAAAAGUUCAUGUGUGACGGCAGUUUGUGCAUCAGUAACACUAGGCUAGGAGAAGGACAGUUUGGAUCCCCGUGGUUUUCUCAGGUGAAUGAAAUCCAAUCGGUAUGUCCUGAGCAUCCAUGUUGUAUGAGAACAUCCCUAGCUAUGGUGGAGGGUGUGGUGGGUUCACCUAGUUGGGGACCCCCCAGAAAUGAACUGUCCAGCUGGAGGCUGAAGUUAAAAAGGGUGACUUGAUUCUGCUGCAGGCUGAGCAGGGCUGGGAGGGUUUGGGCUUGGAGGAGCCAUUUCUACCUGGCUGUCGGCAACCCUUGGCACCGGAGCAUGUGGGAGAGACUUGCAGUGGGGCUGGUGGUUCCUGCGGGAUCCUGAGUGCUGCUCGGGGGUGGGGUGUCCGCCCGUGGCCCAGGUUCUCGGAGCCAGACCCCAGCCACACCCUGGAGGAGCGCGUGGUGCAUUGGUACUUCAGCCAGCUGGACAGCAACAGCAGCAGCGACAUCAACAAGCGCGAGAUGAAGCCCUUCAAGCGCUACGUGAAGAAGAAAGCCAAGCCUAAGAAGUGCGCCCGGCGUUUCACCGACUACUGUGACCUGAACAAGGACAAGGUCAUCUCGCUGCCUGAGCUGAAGGGCUGCCUGGGCGUCAGCAAAGAAGUAGGACGCCUCGUCUAAGGAGCGGAAAACCAAAGGGCAGGUGGAGAGACCAGGGAGGCAGGAUGGAUCAUCAGACAGCUAACCUUCGACGUUGCCCACGGCCCAGCCACAUCCCAUGUAACAUAAGUGGUGCCCAUCGUGUUUGCACUUUUAAUAACUCUUAUUUGUGUGUUUUCUUUUUCGGUUUCAUUUUUAAACACCAGUAUCUAAUACCGCAGUGGGAAAAGGAAAGGGAAGAGAGACUGUUUAUUCUCUUUUAUUGUUAAGUUUUUGGAUCUGCUACUGACAACUUUUAGGGUUUGGAGGGCGGGGGGCUUGCUGGGACUGAGAAGAAAGAGAUUUAUGUACUGUAUAUAAAUAUAUAUGUAAAUUGUAUAGUUCUUUUGUACAGGUGUUGGCAUUGCUGUCUGUUUAUUCCCCUCCCUCUCCCCGCUCUGAGCUGUGAGGGUUCCGGACACACAGCCCUGCUCUCUAGAACCCAGGACUCCAUCCCUGGCCAGCCUGGAUUCCAUUGUGAUCACAGUGCAGACUCCGUGGGUAUCUUUGGGGCCACCUUCUGCCGUGGCUGUCAGAGCCACAAGUCACUUGGCGGUUGACCUUCUCAAGGGAGGGAGUGGACAUUGCAGGUCAAUGGGAGUGGCCCCUGGAGGGAGGCCCGUAGCCCUCAGGGGUCCCCAUCCUCCAGUGCCCAUGUGGUCAGGCCAUCCAGACCCCCAGGUGGCCCAGACUCAGUGGGUGCACAGUGCCAUUGGCGCCCGCUGAACAUACAGCCCUCAAAGGAUGUGCGUUAGGGUCGUCUUGAAACAUUUCCAGUCACAUUUAGCAUCUACUCCAUGUAAAACAGGAGAGGAGAGGCAGAGAAGAAAAAGACACCCUGUGGGCCUUUUAUUUAGUAGUUAAAUUUAAUAUCUGAGCAGUGGAGGGAGAAGGACAGAAGGCCUGUCCUGGUGAGGAUGGUGCCCACUCAAGGCUUCUCACCUCUCGCCCACCCAUGAAGGAGGCUUCCUGAGACAGCGCCCAAUGCUAAGGUCAGACUAGGCAGCUACUUCUGCAGUCCUCUUUCUCCCCUCCUGUCUUCUGGUCAGCGUAAGCCUGAGGGAAGAGUUGUGUCCAUCACCUUGUUGGUCACUCAACCUUUUCUAUUUUUUUUAAACUCAGUACCGAGGUUCUUCCUGUUUUCCUAAAUGCUCUUACGGGCUUCCAGGCUUGAGGCCAGUUCCAGGGCCAAAUUCAUCUUGGGCCUGUUACUUCUGCCUCCCUUGGAAGUGAGACGGAAUGGCCCAGCCAUGGGGAAAUCCAGGCCUAGCUUCCCACAGGCGUUUUACUGUGACUCCAACAUGGACUGCCCAGCCUUAGAGUCGUACCCCAGCUUCCUCUUGCCCCGGGGGGCGGGAGGCAUGCCCAUCUGACAGUCAUCCCACAAAGGGUGACAGGUGACUCUGAGCCCUCCUUCCCAUGAGCAUCCAGAGCAGCAGGGAGGGAGGGAGGGUGGGCAGUUUUCCAGGGCUGGCGCCUUUGUGGAUUAUUUUUGGAAAUCUGGCUGCAUCUCUGUGCAUCUCCUAUCCCAUCCCAGUAUCCCAUCCUCUGACUGGAGAAGGUUCUUGCUGUCCUGGCGAAAAGUCCCAGAGGUUGUGUCAGGGUGACUGGAGACCCCAUCCCAACAUGGUAGGAUGGAACAAAGAGCCCUGGCCCAUCAGUCUGGACCAGAAAGCCCGGUGUGCUGGCUGGGUGGACUUUCCGGGAGACCUCAGCCUCCUCCCCUGCCCUGAAGGAAGCGCCUCCGUGAAGAAAGUUGGAAUCUCCCCGGGACAUCUUCUCUCUCACACACGUGUAGAGGCAGAGUUGUGUGGUUUUCCUUUGUGAGGAGGGAGGGAGACCGUUUGUAGCUUGUUUUAUAAAAAAUAAAAAAUGCUUAAACCUUG